rnacentral:tRNA from 1 species
GGCUUUAUAGUCAAUAAUGAUAUUAGACUGCAAUUCUAGAGGAGUGAGUUAAUCACUAAAGCUU